UCUCAUCAUAACUCUUAGUUGUGCUGCCAUCCUCUUCUUGGUCUUGCUCAGCUACUGUCUCAGUUGUUUUGUGGCUGCUCAUGAAGAGACCCCAAGAAGGUAUCUAAGCUGCCAACCUCAACAUUGGUGUCCCCAUUCCAGUCACCCUAGGACAUCC